UUCCACACACAAAGAGCAACAAUAUGUUCUCAGUUUGAGUAACUUCUUUUAGAUUAGGGGAAACAAAAUAAGAAAGAACAAAAGCAAAGUGUUCACAAGAGAGCAUGGAAGUGUCUACACUGAGGAAGUUUCAAUGUGUGGUGGGAAAACAUUCCCUGUGAGCACUGCCAUGGGGUCUCCAUCGAGGCUCCUGUCAUGGUGCCAGGCAGGGGAAUCACUGCCUACCUGCAAGUCAUCAGGAAAAAGAAGAUUAUCUAUGACAAUUCCUUAGCAGACUGAACACACAUUGCAAUUUGCAGAGCAAAUGGCUGCCACCUGCUCCAAGGAGCACUGGUGGAACCUGGAGUGGAGAGAAGAGCCCAGCUGCACCAGGAUUGGCUUUUAGCAUGAGGUCAGUCAGUGUGAGGCAUGUUAUCUGUGCAAGCUGUGAGUUUGGGCUUGCCUGUGACAUACCUGUCUUAAUCUAAACCUGCUGCAGUGGACAGGUUUUAAGGCCCUUCCUUAAUAAUUUUCCAGACAGCUCUGUUUCCAGACAGCUCAGUGAGGCUGGAUUUCACAUCCUUUUCUAGCCGUGUGGAUGUGAACUCACAGCCCAGGGGAUCUGAGAGCUGCCCUGAGCUUCAGGGCAUGUCCCCUGCUCCCUCAGCAGUGCCGGAGCAGGGAAAUAUGCUCUUGGACCAGGCGCGCCUUGUGACUCCCAGGGUUUACUUGGGCACAUCUGGACCAUCAGUCUCAAAGGCUGUACACUUGCUUGCUCAGACAAAGCAACAAAACUGUGAUGUAAAGGUAGAAGAUCCCCCAGCACAGGAACUGCAAGGGAUAUUUUGUUCAUGCUAGCAGUAAUACUAAGAACAAGUGAAAUUCCGACCUUUGCCUAACAGGAGUGCCAACGAGCUGCUCACAGCAGAAGGUAGGCUACUUCAUGGGGGUAUACUUAGAUGCCUCUUGACAGCCCUCAUGGCCACCUACCACAGUGAAUGGUGGCCAGC
rnacentral:lncRNA from 1 species